rnacentral:piRNA from 1 species
CACCACUUCUGUUUUCCCAUUUGGUC